AUUGAACGCUGGCGGCAUGCCUUACACAUGCAAGUCGAACGGUAACAGGUCUUCGGAUGCUGACGAGUGGCGAACGGGUGAGUAAUACAUCGGAACGUGCCCGAGAGUGGGGGAUAACGAGGCGAAAGCUUUGCUAAUACCGCAUACGAUCUCAGGAUGAAAGCAGGGGACCGCAAGGCCUUGCGCUCACGGAGCGGCCGAUGGCAGAGUAGGUAGUUGGUGGGAUAAAAGCUUACCAAGCCGCCGAUCUGUAGCUGGUCUGAGAGGACGACCAGCCACACUGGGACUGAGACACGGCCCAGACUCCUACGGGAGGCAGCAGUGGGGAAUUUUGGACAAUGGGCGCAAGCCUGAUCCAGCCAUGCCGCGUGCAGGAUGAAGGCCUUCGGGUUGUAAACUGCUUUUGUACGGAACGAAAAGACCCUGGUUAAUACCUGGGGUCCAUGACGGUACCGUAAGAAUAAGCACCGGCUAACUACGUGCCAGCCGCCGCCGUAAAAC
rnacentral:rRNA from 1 species